AUCGCUUCUCGGCCUUUUGGCUAAGAUCAAGUGUAGUAUCUGUUAUCAGUUUAAUAUCCGAUACAUCCACUAUCUGGGGACUAUAGAUUAAAUUGAUUGAGAACGGGGGCAGAUUUCAAAGCUUGCUUCCGUCGCCCUAUGCAUUAACCCGACAUGGCAGUAUCUUCGGGUACAGUGCACCCGAA